rnacentral:lncRNA from 1 species
UCCUCUUAUUUAUUGAAGCAUACAUACAAAAUAAGUGUAUCUUAUCACAACCAAGUAUGUUAUUGCAGCAAACAUUACAUAGGGUACCACAGAGAUGACAUCAAACAAUUGUCCCUCUGAAAUCCUACCACUUAUUAUAGGUAACUAGCUGAAAAAACAUUUACUAAUGCUUGCCUCCAACAACAAUAUUAAUCAAGAUCUGCUUUUGAAGCACAUAUGCAAGAACAUCACCUCAAUAAUAUAACUUGACAUCCAUCCUCCCCCAUUUUUUUUUCCCACAGCCACAAGUCUAACCUUUCCAAAUUCAAACCAUUGUUUGCUAUGCGCACAGUCAACAGAAGUAGAUUCUCUAAAACCCACAACUACCAUUUCUAAUAUAUAUUAGACCUAGGAGGCCAUGUUACAUUUUUCUGUACAAAGCUAGGCUUUACCCUUCAGCCCAAAAUCUAAAAUUUGGA